ACGGAAGGCAGCAGUGAGGGAUAUUGCACAAUGGGCGCAAGCCUGAUGCAGCAACGCCGCGUGAGGGAUGACGGUUUUCGGAUUGUAAACCUCUGUUUUCAGUGAUGAUAAUGACAUUAGCUGAAGAGGAAGCCACGGCUAACUACGUGCCAGCAGCCGCGGUAAUACGUAGGUGGCAAGCGUUGUCCGGAUUUACUGGGUGUAAAGGGAGCGCAGGCGGGAAAGCAAGUCAGUGGUGAAAUGUAUGGGCUUAACCAUAAACUGCCGUUGAAACUGUUUUUCUUGAGUGGAGUAGAGGCAAGCGGAAUUCCGAGUGUAGCGGUGAAAUGCGUAGAUAUUCGGAGGAACACCAAUGGCGAAGGCGGCUUGCUGGGCUCUAACUGACGCUGAGGCUCGAAAGUGUGGGGAGCAAACAGGAUUAGAUACCCUGGUA
rnacentral:rRNA from 1 species